CAGGCUGCAACCCGCCUGCAUGAAGUUGGAAUCGCUAGUAAUCGCGGAUCAGCAUGCCGCGGUGAAUACGUUCCCGGGCCUUGUACACACCGCCCGUCACACCAUGAGAGUCGGGAACACCCGAAGUCCGUAGCCUAACCGCAAGGGGGCGCGGCCGAAGGUGGGUUCGAUAAUUGGGGUGAAGUCGUAACAAGGUAAC
rnacentral:rRNA from 1 species